GAUGAACGCUGGCGGCGUGCCUAAUACAUGCAAGUCGAGCGGACCAAAGAGAGCUUGCUCUCUGAGGUUAGCGGCGGACGGGUGAGUAACACGUGGGUAACCUGCCUGUAAGACGGGGAUAACUUCGGGAAACCGAAGCUAAUACCGGAUGAUAAAGAGAAACGCCUGUUUCUUUUUUGAAAGUCGGCCUUGUGCUGACGCUUACAGAUGGGCCCGCGGCGCAUUAGCUAGUUGGUGAGGUAACGGCUCACCAAGGCGACGAUGCGUAGCCGACCUGAGAGGGUGAUCGGCCACACUGGGACUGAGACACGGCCCAGACUCCUACGGGAGGCAGCAGUAGGGAAUCUUCGGCAAUGGACGAAAGUCUGACCGAGCAACGCCGCGUGAGCGAUGAAGGCCUUCGGGUCGUAAAGCUCUGUUGUCAGAGAAGAACAAGUACCGGAGUAACUGCCGGUACCUUGACGGCACCUGACCAGAAAGCCACGGCUAACUACGUGCCAGCCGCCGCCGUAA
rnacentral:rRNA from 1 species